rnacentral:rRNA from 1 species
UACGUAGGUGGCAGGCGUUGUCCGGAUUUACUGGGCGUAAAGGAUGCGUAGGCGGACAUUUAAGUCAGAUGUGAAAUACCCGAGCUUAACUUGGGUGCUGCAUUUGAAACUGGGUGUCUAGAGUGCAGGAGAGGUAAGUGGAAUUCCUAGUGUAGCGGUGAAAUGCGUAGAGAUUAGGAAGAACACUAGUGGCGAAGGCGACUUACUGGACUGUAACUGACGCUGAGGCAUGAAAGCGUGGGGAGCAAACGGG